UGGUGGAGUGAUUUGUCUGGUUAAUUCCGUACGAACGAGACCUCAGCCUGAACACAUCGUGUUCGAAUCGAAGCUUCUUAGAGGGACUUUCUGUAUCUAGCAGACGUAAGUUUGAGGCAAUAACA
rnacentral:rRNA from 1 species